rnacentral:rRNA from 1 species
GACGAACGCUGGCGGCGUGCUUAACACAUGCAAGUCGAACGGUAAGGCCCUUCGGGGUACACGAGUGGCGAACGGGUGAGUAACACGUGGGUGAUCUGCCCUGCACUUCGGGAUAAGCCUGGGAAACUGGGUCUAAUACCGGAUAGGACCACUGCCUGCAUGGGUGGUGGUGGAAAGCUUUUGCGGUGUGGGAUGGGCCCGCGGCCUAUCAGCUUGUUGGUGGGGUGAUGGCCUACCAAGGCGACGACGGGUAGCCGGCCUGAGAGGGUGACCGGCCACACUGGGACUGAGAUACGGCCCAGACUCCUACGGGAGGCAGCAGUGGGGUAUAUUGCACAAUGGGCGCAAGCCUGAUGCAGCGACGCCGCGUGAGGGAUGACGGCCUUCGGGUUGUAAACCUCUUUCAGCACCGACGAAGCGCAAGUGACGGUAGGUGCAGAAGAAGGACCGGCCAACUACGUGCCAGCCGCCGCAGUAAAAC